rnacentral:rRNA from 1 species
AAGAGACAGCAGUAGCCGCGGGAAUACAGAGGGUGCGAGCGUUAAUCGGAUUUACUGGGCGUAAAGCGUGCGUAGGCGGCUAAUUGAGUCGGAUGUGAAAUCCCCGAGCUUAACUUGGGAAUUGCAUUCGAUACUGGUUAGCUAGAGUGUGGGAGAGGAUGGUAGAAUUCCAGGUGUAGCGGUGAAAUGCGUAGAGAUCUGGAGGAAUACCGAUGGCGAAGGCAGCCAUCUGGCCUAACACUGACGCUGAGGUACGAAAGCAUGGGGAGCAAACAGGAUUAGAUACCCCUGUAGUCCCUGUCUCUUAUAA